AGAAUCAACGCUGGCGGCGUGCCUAAUACAUGCAAGUCGAACGCGAAGACCCCGCAAGGGGUUGGUAGCGUGGCAAACGGGUGAGUAACGCGUGGGCGACCUGCCUUCGAGUGGGGGAUAACCUUCCGAAAGGAGGGCUAAUACCGCAUGACAUGCUCUGUUUGGAUACAGGGACAUCAAAGCCGGGGAUCGCAAGACCUGGCGCUUGAAGAGGGGCCUACGUCCGAUUAGCUAGUUGGUGGGGUAAUGGCUCACCAAGGCGACGAUCGGUA
rnacentral:rRNA from 1 species